UUUCUGCAAUGAUGAAUUAUGAAUUCAAUCACAUGUCAGACUUCAGAGAUUCCUUUACACAAAGGAAUCAAUGAGAUUACAUUCAUAAGUCUGAGCAGAUA